rnacentral:siRNA from 1 species
GGCGAGGCUUGCAGCGUGGUCGGC